rnacentral:lncRNA from 1 species
UCUUUUCUUUUGAUUUAAUUUAAAUAAGUUAUAUAAGUUAAUGGCGAGAGUUGUACUUAGAGUAACAUGAACAACUAAGAUUUAACUCAGUUAGAAAAUUAACAAACUUCAAUUUUCAUGAAGUUUCGAUUUAUUUAUAUAUUGAAUGAAUUCCAAAAUGAGCUUUAAGAAAGUCUAAUUCACAAGCAAAUUUGUACAAGUGUUUGGAGCAUGUACUUGGGGAGAUUUAAAAAAUAUAUAUAUAUAUAAACUAAACUAAAAAUUAAAUAAAGUGAUGAAAAUAAAAAUAAAAAAGUAAGACGAUGUAACUCUUUAGAACUAUUAGAUCAUUCACUUUUUUCAUUUCUUUUCUUUUUUCACGAAAUUCUUGAUCUAAACAUAGCAUAAAACACCUCCAAACUUCAACUUCAUCAAUUGCAAAUCCAUGUGAGGACAUACUCAAAGCAGAGGUCAAGUUCGAAACUGGCCUUAGCUAUGCCUCUUUUUGUAUAUUUCCUUGAUAAUAUCUGAAUCUGUGUGUGGUAUUUAAAAUGCAUUCCCUGAAUCUCUAUAGUAAGGUUUUAAAAUUUUAUUGCUAUUUCCAUAAUUGAAACUCAGUGACAGUAAGUAUAUAUAUCACUUCACUUCAAGAAAGUGAAGUGAUACCGUCUUAUUUGAAUGUAAUAUUUAAUAUUCAAAAUUUAUUAACUUUUAUGUGUAUGUGAGGUCCAUUAUAUCUAUAUUCUAGUUUUUAAUAGAUGGUGAUAUCGCAUGUAGAGAUGGCAAUCUCCGCUCCACCCUGCCUCCACCCUAAUUGAGGCGAAUAUCCACAUACUUUUAGGAAAUGGAGUGAGGAUAAAGAAAAAUGUGAACAUGUCGAGGGAUCAUUAUGCAUACCUCCAUUCCAAAUCUCUUCUUUGAAUGAUAAGAAGCACAAUCACUUAAACUAGGCUAAAGUCUAAUUCAAACAUAGCCUUAACAACUCCAUAUUAUAGAAACAAAAACUAAGUAAUAGUGAACUUAAAAAUUGGGCGUAUCCCAAUUUGUAUUACUAUUUUUUUCCUAGCUUCUUAUUUGCACCUCACAAUUAAAAAAUCUAUAAUCUGUUGAAAGAAACUGCACUAGUAAAUGAUAUGGUUAGAAGUUACAGGAUCUAAAGGUUCGAGAUGAUUGAAUCAUCUAACGUUUCUAAUGUCAGAGUCAAGAGUAAAUGGGUCAAAAAGAGAUUUCUGUAAAAGCACAACGCAAGGUGUAAUUACCCAAAAAUAAUACUGAGUCAACACAAGUGAGUCAAAAGCCGAGUGAACGAACAACGCAAAGUGUCAGAAACGCACCUUGGAUGUGGAGAGCCUUUGUUUUGAAUCUUUGAUGGGUUGUGACCGUUCAUAGAGCCGCACUUCCUCUUCCCCUACGACGAAGGCCGCGGCGGCCGACCACUCCCUGCCGACGCCGACGACGACAACGAAUUCGCCGCUGAUUUUUUGAGGAAGCGGAAGUAAACAAUAAACCCUAGAAAUCGAAUCCGUUUUUUUUUAAUGGUCCGAUUCUGAUCCAACAGCUCUGAUUCUCUGAUUUUCUCUUGUUAAGAAUCUCUUGUUAAGAAAUCAUAGGGUCCUCUUCUGAAGCGAGCGUGGCCGAUUUUGGUCCGAUUGAUCAUAGUGAAAAAACAUGGCCCUAGUCAUAAUGGGUCCCGCAUAAUAAUGGGUCCCAAAGUCAACAAGGAUCAUGACUAUAUUUAGCCUGGUAAUGCUUAAAAGCAAAUUUUUUUUUUAGUUUGCUACUAAAAAAUUUAAAAAAUUUAAAAAAUUUAGAUUUUUUUGCUUUCAUAUAUUUACUUUAGCUAAAAAAAAUUAAAAAAAUCAACUCUAGUGGUUUUUUUGCUUAUAAGCUUAACGUCUUGUCAGGGCAAAUGUUUUUUUUGAAUUUUUUUAAUAGUCUUAACUUUUGAUUUUUUUUUAUUUUAAAUAAUUUUUUUAAUUAUUUUAUUAAAAUUUUAUAUUUUAUCGAUUCUUCUGUGGAUGGAAAUCCAAAAAUAUAAAUAAUUUUAUAUAAUUUAUAAAAAAACUCACUAAAGAUAAAAAAUUAUUUUUUAGAUUUUUUUGAAUGAAAUUAUUAUUUUUGGCCUUUUGUAUUUUUUUUCAAAUUAGAUGAAUAUUUUUAUAUUUUUAGACUAUAAUCAAGAUCAAAUGGAAAAAAGAGUUAACUAAAAUACCAAAAAACAGAGUCGGCAGAGAUUUGUAAAAGAAAAAAAAUAUUAAACUUGAAUCGUUAGAUUCGUUGACUUUUCUUUUUUUUUUUCUCUACCAAAUCAUAAAUCCAAAUAUAGCCUUGAACAAUUUAAGAUUGUAUUUCAAUAAAAAAAUUGGUAAGAUUUGUUAAGGAAAAUGAAAAAUUAAAAAAAAGAAAAUGCUACACAUCAUCCAAAGAACGGUGAUUUUUUUUUAAUAGGAAAGAAAUAUAUUGAUAAUUAUGAAAAUUGUAUAUAAAUUUAUAAAUAUUCGUAUUAACUACCGCUCAAUAAAUCUAACAAGCGAUGAUUGAGAGUGAAGUCAUGUGUCCAAUUGUUUUUGGUUUCAAUUUAUAUUUAUAUUUAAUGGGGUAUGAGGCCCAUAACCCAUGCACGCGAGAUCUAUUAUGUAUAUUAUUAAUUGAAUGACGAUAUGGAAUAAAAUUGAAUGAUAAGAAUAAGUUUGUAGAUAGAUUGUCAUAUUUUAAGACAAUUUUGAUUUGUAAUCAUACUGCUAUAAAUAUUAAAUCAAUUUAACUUUUUUUUUAUAGACAAUCUAUGUUCAUAGACUUAAAAAAAUGAAUCGAUUGAGAUCCUGUUUUGGGUAUUUAUUUAUUUUAUCUUUUUAUGUUAGUAAAUUUUUUUCAUCGUUUUUUUAAAUUUUAAAUUUUUUUAGUUUAUUUUGACAAGAAUAGUCCGAAGAUAGAUUUUUUUUUUAUCUAAUUUGAUUUUUUUUUAUUAAAAACGAUUAUAUUUUUUGACUCCUUUUGUCAAUAAAAAUUAAAAAAAUAUAAAUUUUUAAUCAAACAAAAAAAUAAAUUCACUAUAAAUAAAAACUUGAAAAUAAAAAAAUAAAAAUAUCCAAACUUGAAUCGAUGAAUCUUUUAGUCAUCCAAACCGGACCGACAUAGCACAAAAAUCAAAUCUAUUUGGAUAAACUGCAGAAUUCACGUGUAUACUGAAAAUCAAAGGCUGACAGCCUCGUCAAUCAGCGCAUUAAAUUGGAAAAUUAUUCAGUGCUUUGAGCGCAAGUCCUAGUAGUGUUCUAACAUUAGAAUGAUUGAUCUAAAAUACUGAUAUUCAUUAACUUUUGUGUAUAAAUUGUAGUCGACAUGUGCAAAUGUAUCACUCAGUAAAUGAUGUAGAGCAAUACUCUAAGAGUAUCGAAUAAUCUCUCAUUAAAUUUGGAUCAGCUGGGCUUGAAUCUGAACCGAAGUCCAGUUACAAGCAUUCACGAGGUGAGCAUCUUUUGUGAAGAUAGACCCAUCAUCCAUCCCGACCCAAUAGUGGCCGCAAAAAGUUCUGGCCCGGCCCACCUUCAUAGCACGUCCAAUUCAGAUCAUUUGUCCAAAUCGUUCGACCGAUUAGCCUAGAUUAUUCGGCCCGUUUUUUGGCCCAACCCAUCCGAUCCUCCACACUUCUCCAGCGCCAAGAACUGUACCAUUGGACUAAACUCAUUCAUUAAUAAAAAUAUUAAAUUUUAAUAAAUAAAUACAUCGUCAAAUAAUAAAAAAGAGGAGAAUUUUUUAGGGACCAAUAUUUGAACCCGCAACCUCGACCCUCUGCACCUAGAACCAUACUACUAGGCCAAACACUCAAUUCAUUUAUAAAAAGGUUAUGUUUUAAUAGUAAACAAAUCGCCAAACAAUAACAAGAAAAGAAGAAUAUUUGAGAGAGCAAGAUUCGAACUCACAACCUCCCUCCCCUGCAGCUUGAACCAUACUACUGGACCAAACACUUAUUCAUUUAUAAAAAUUAGUAAUUGUCCGUACCCACGAGCACUAUGUAAAAAAAAAUAUUACUUCUUAAGCAUACUCGUUAGAGUUUUGCAACAUAAAAAAACACAUAAGAUAUAAAUGUCAGAUAAGAGAUUUAUUGUAUGCAUAUACGAAAGGAUACAUUACUAUAAAAUAGAAAAUAAAUUAAAAAGUAUAAUAAUUUUUAAAAAAAUAUUACUAAUUUGAGAGAAAUGAGAAGAAAAGAAAGGGGGUUUUAUUUUUUUUGUAUGUGGGUCCCACUAAAAAAAUAAUUCAAUCAGUGAAACAUAUGCCCACAUUUUUAGAAAUUCUUUGGCUAUUGAACCACAACCUAUAUGAGACCUAUAACUUUAUAAAGAAGAAAAUAAUAUUUUUUGGGGAGAAAAACUAGUCUCAUGUGAAAUUUCAGUCAUUGGAUUAACUAAAAUGGAUUUCAACCGUAAAUAGUGUUUGAUAGUUUGAAAGAUUCAAAAAUUAUUGUGUCUUAUAUUAUAGAUAUUAGAUUUUAAUAAUAAACACUCAUUUGUUUAUGAAAAUAUAUUUAACAUUAUUUAUCAAUAGGCAAUAAAUGAAAUUAAUCUUUUGACUCUUUUAUUUGUUUAGUCAAUCCUAAUUUAUUGUUUAAUAGAAAUAAAUUAUUGUUGUAAAUUAUUAAAAUAUAAUUUUUAUUUUUUAUUUUUUUUAAAUAAUAAAAAAUAUUUGUAAUAUUAAAAAAAUAAACAUAUAUGAAAGAUAUAACAUUACAUUAAUUACAAAAUGUAUCAGAACGUCGCUAAAAUUAAAUAAAAAAAGCAUUAAAAAAUUAAACUGGACUUGUCCAUCCUGAACCGGACCGUUACUAGAGCAGUCAAGCCCGUUAUUAUAACGGUCUAGUCUAAUAGACCGAUCUAGGCCAGGAGAAUGGCUAACGGUCUAGGCAAAAUUCAAACCGUUACUUAGCGAUCUAAACAAACCCUAAAUUAGGGGUGUCCAUGGUCCAAAUUGGUCCGAUUUCAUAAGAAUCCAGUAACCAAUCCAUAUUUAACGGUUCUAAAAAA